rnacentral:misc_RNA from 1 species
AUAUCUCAACCUUCUCGGUUUCUUCUGGACACCGAAGGAGGCUUGGACUUUGGAGGCCUUUGCUGGCGUCUCUCUCUUCUGAAACCCAGCUCCUCUUAAAUGAAUUAGCGGGGUCCUCUUUGCUGAUCCUCGACGUGUGAUAAGAUGUUUCCAUGUCUUGGUUUCUGGCUCUGUUGCUCCUGGGACCCGCUUCUCCCCGUCUCAACCUUGCAUCGAGACAAUGUUUGCGCGCGUCUCCCUUCUCGGGAAAUGCUCUCAACCCCCCGACC